GAUGAACGCUGGCGGCGUGCCUAAUACAUGCAAGUCGAGCGAAGAAAGGAGGGGCUUGCUCCUCUGACGUUAGCGGCGGACGUGUGAGUAGCGCGUGGAUACCCUCCCGAUACGGCUGGGAUAAAUUCGAGAAACCGGAGCUAAUACCGUAUAAGAUAUUGAAGCGCAUGGUUCAAUAGUGAAAGACAAUUUUGCUAUCACUUAUAGAUGGAGCCUCGGCUUAUUAGCUUGUUGGGAAGAUAACGGAUGACGAAGGCAACGAUGCGUCGCCGACCUGGGAGGGUGACGGGCAAACCUGGACUUGAGCCACGGUCCAGACCCUACGGGGAGCAAGCAGUAGGGAACUUUGCGAAAUGGGCGAAGGCUGGACGGAGCACCGCCGCGUGAGUAAUGAAGGUCUUCGGAUCUAAAACCCUUGUUAUAAGGGAAGACCAAUUGUGUAAGUAAAUAUUCACGCCUUGACGGUACCUAACCAGAAAGCCACGGCUAACUACGUG
rnacentral:rRNA from 1 species